rnacentral:rRNA from 1 species
GUUAAGCGACUAAGCGUACACGGUGGAUGCCCUGGCAGUCAGAGGCGAUGAAGGACGUGCUAAUCUGCGAUAAGCGUCGGUAAGGUGAUAUGAACCGUUAUAACCGGCGAUUUCCGAAUGGGGAAACCCAGUGUGUUUCGACACACUAUCAUUAACUGAAUCCAUAGGUUAAUGAGGCGAACCGGGGGAACUGAAACAUCUAAGUACCCCGAGGAAAAGAAAUCAACCGAGAUUCCCCCAGUAGCGGCGAGCGAACGGGGAGCAGCCCAGAGCCUGAAUCAGUGUGUGUGUUAGUGGAAGCGUCUGGAAAGGCGCGCGAUACAGGGUGACAGCCCCGUACACAAAAAUGCACAUACUGUGAGCUCGAUGAGUAGGGCGGGACACGUGGUAUCCUGUCUGAAUAUGGGGGGACCAUCCUCCAAGGCUAAAUACUCCUGACUGACCGAUAGUGAACCAGUACCGUGAGGGAAAGGCGAAAAGAACCCCGGCGAGGGGAGUGAAAAAGAACCUGAAACCGUGUACGUACAAGCAGUGGGAGCACGCUUAGGCGUGUGACUGCGUACCUUUUGUAUAAUGGGUCAGCGACUUAUAUUCUGUAGCAAGGUUAACCGAAUAGGGGAGCCGAAGGGAAACCGAGUCUUAACUGGGCGUUAAGUUGCAGGGUAUAGACCCGAAACCCGGUGAUCUAGCCAUGGGCAGGUUGAAGGUUGGGUAACACUAACUGGAGGACCGAACCGACUAAUGUUGAAAAAUUAGCGGAUGACUUGUGGCUGGGGGUGAAAGGCCAAUCAAACCGGGAGAUAGCUGGUUCUCCCCGAAAGCUAUUUAGGUAGCGCCUCGUGAAUUCAUCUCCGGGGGUAGAGCACUGUUUCGGCAAGGGGGUCAUCCCGACUUACCAACCCGAUGCAAACUGCGAAUACCGGAGAAUGUUAUCACGGGAGACACACGGCGGGUGCUAACGUCCGUCGUGAAGAGGGAAACAACCCAGACCGCCAGCUAAGGUCCCAAAGUCAUGGUUAAGUGGGAAACGAUGUGGGAAGGCCCAGACAGCCAGGAUGUUGGCUUAGAAGCAGCCAUCAUUUAAAGAAAGCGUAAUAGCUCACUGGUCGAGUCGGCCUGCGCGGAAGAUGUAACGGGGCUAAACCAUGCACCGAAGCUGCGGCAGCGACGCUGAUGCGUUGUUGGGUAGGGGAGCGUUCUGUAAGCCUGCGAAGGUGUGCUGUGAGGCAUGCUGGAGGUAUCAGAAGUGCGAAUGCUGACAUAAGUAACGAUAAAGCGGGUGAAAAGCCCGCUCGCCGGAAGACCAAGGGUUCCUGUCCAACGUUAAUCGGGGCAGGGUGAGUCGACCCCUAAGGCGAGGCCGAAAGGCGUAGUCGAUGGGAAACAGGUUAAUAUUCCUGUACUUGGUGUUACUGCGAAGGGGGGACGGAGAAGGCUAUGUUGGCCGGGCGACGGUUGUCCCGGUUUAAGCGUGUAGGCUGGUUUUCCAGGCAAAUCCGGAAAAUCAAGGCUGAGGCGUGAUGACGAGGCACUACGGUGCUGAAGCAACAAAUGCCCUGCUUCCAGGAAAAGCCUCUAAGCAUCAGGUAACAUCAAAUCGUACCCCAAACCGACACAGGUGGUCAGGUAGAGAAUACCAAGGCGCUUGAGAGAACUCGGGUGAAGGAACUAGGCAAAAUGGUGCCGUAACUUCGGGAGAAGGCACGCUGAUAUGUAGGUGAAGCGACUUGCUCGUGGAGCUGAAAUCAGUCGAAGAUACCAGCUGGCUGCAACUGUUUAUUAAAAACACAGCACUGUGCAAACACGAAAGUGGACGUAUACGGUGUGACGCCUGCCCGGUGCCGGAAGGUUAAUUGAUGGGGUCAGCGCAAGCGAAGCUCUUGAUCGAAGCCCCGGUAAACGGCGGCCGUAACUAUAACGGUCCUAAGGUAGCGAAAUUCCUUGUCGGGUAAGUUCCGACCUGCACGAAUGGCGUAAUGAUGGCCAGGCUGUCUCCACCCGAGACUCAGUGAAAUUGAACUCGCUGUGAAGAUGCAGUGUACCCGCGGCAAGACGGAAAGACCCCGUGAACCUUUACUAUAGCUUGACACUGAACAUUGAGCCUUGAUGUGUAGGAUAGGUGGGAGGCUUUGAAGUGUGGACGCCAGUCUGCAUGGAGCCGACCUUGAAAUACCACCCUUUAAUGUUUGAUGUUCUAACGUUGACCCGUGAUCCGGGUUGCGGACAGUGUCUGGUGGGUAGUUUGACUGGGGCGGUCUCCUCCUAAAGAGUAACGGAGGAGCACGAAGGUUGGCUAAUCCUGGUCGGACAUCAGGAGGUUAGUGCAAUGGCAUAAGCCAGCUUGACUGCGAGCGUGACGGCGCGAGCAGGUGCGAAAGCAGGUCAUAGUGAUCCGGUGGUUCUGAAUGGAAGGGCCAUCGCUCAACGGAUAAAAGGUACUCCGGGGAUAACAGGCUGAUACCGCCCAAGAGUUCAUAUCGACGGCGGUGUUUGGCACCUCGAUGUCGGCUCAUCACAUCCUGGGGCUGAAGUAGGUCCCAAGGGUAUGGCUGUUCGCCAUUUAAAGUGGUACGCGAGCUGGGUUUAGAACGUCGUGAGACAGUUCGGUCCCUAUCUGCCGUGGGCGCUGGAGAACUGAGGGGGGCUGCUCCUAGUACGAGAGGACCGGAGUGGACGCAUCACUGGUGUUCGGGUUGUCAUGCCAAUGGCACUGCCCGGUAGCUAAAUGCGGAAGAGAUAAGUGCUGAAAGCAUCUAAGCACGAAACUUGCCCCGAGAUGAGUUCUCCCUGACUCCUUGAGAGUCCUGAAGGAACGUUGAAGACGACGACGUUGAUAGGCCGGGUGUGUAAGCGCAGCGAUGCGUUGAGCUAACCGGUACUAAUGAACCGUGAGGCUUAACCUUACAACGCCGAAGCUGUU